AUCAGCAAUUACUUCACUUCACAAUUGUAGGUUCUCGACUUUUAAAUAGUAAAUAUCAUGAAUUACCGAUGAUUCUAACUGGAGAUUUUAAUGUUAAUUAUCGCUCUUAUCGCUCUCGCGAAUACUUCUCGACUUCAUUCAACAAAGCGGUUCAGUACAACGAUAGAUGCUGUAUUUUCAAGAGAAGUAGCAAAUUCAGAGAGUAAAAUUUAUGUUUCAUAUUAUAGUUACCACAAACCUAUAAUUUCAUAUUGAUAUAUGCCGUCAACGCCUCGCGUCGAAACGUCAAAGCUUCACAUCACACGUCUCGCGAAAUACGCCCCGGCUACAUCUGUAAUAUUUUUGUUUACAAUAUUCAUGGGCGAGCCGGGACGCAAUUCCUCGCGAGACCCGUUCGUGCGUAAAGAUCAUGCCUUCCUUGACGUCGGACUAGAUACAGAUAGGGAAACGCGAAGUAUUUGUGUGGGAGCAGUAGCUGACCUCUAGUGUGGCCUUGAGGUCAUUAUAAUUAACUGCAUCUAGGAAAGUAGGUAGUAUUAAAAAACCUAUUAAAAACUACGAAAUUAUUAUAUUAUAUUGAUUAUACAGGCUAGUGUAUAUUUAUAGAAAACUACUGUUCUCCACGAUUUCACCCGUGUUAAUUUAUGACAUGUGCACAUUUAUGGGCGCGCAUACUUGAAUAUUUAUUGUUUUGAAGUUAUUUUAAAACUAUAUCUCCUAAAAACAUAUUUUAAUUUACAAAUAAAUCUUGAUCAACAA